GUGGACGCCAGUCUGCGUGGAGCCGACCUUGAAAUACCACCCUUUAAUGUUUGAUGUUCUAACGUGGACCCGUGAUCCGGGUUGCGGACAGUGUCUGGUGGGUAGUUUGACUGGGGCGGUCUCCUCCUAAAGAGUAACGGAGGAGCACGAAGGUUGGCUAAUCCUGGUCGGACAUCAGGAGGUUAGUGCAAUGGCAUAAGCCAGCUUGACUGCGAGCGUGACGGCGCGAGCAGGUGCGAAAGCAGGUCAUAGUGAUCCGGUGGUUCUGAAUGGAAGGGCCAUCGCUCAACGGAUAAAAGGUACUCCGGGGAUAACAGGCUGAUACCGCCCAAGAGUUCAUAUCGACGGCGGUGUUUGGCACCUCGAUGUCGGCUCAUCACAUCCUGGGGCUGAAGUAGGUCCCAAGGGUAUGGCUGUUCGCCAUUUAAAGUGGUACGCGAGCUGGGUUUAGAACGUCGUGAGACAGUUCGGUCCCUAUCUGCCGUGGGCGCUGGAGAACUGAGGGGGGCUGCUCCUAGUACGAGAGGACCGGAGUGGACGCAUCACUGGUGUUCGGGUUGUCAUGCCAAUGGCACU
rnacentral:rRNA from 1 species